CGGGUACGUUAAUAGCGUAUUCGUUUGACGUUAGCGACAGAAGAAGCACCGGCUAACUCCGUGCCAGCAGCCGCGGUAAUACGGAGGGUGCGAGCGUUAAUCGGAAUUACUGGGCGUAAAGCGCAUGCAGGUGGUUUGUUUAAGUCAGAUGUGAAAGACCCGGGGCUCAACCUCGGAAUAGCAUUUGAAACUAGGCAGACUAGAGUACUGUAGAGGGGGGUAGGAAUUUCAGGUGUAGCGGUGAAAUGCGUAGAGAUCUGAAGGAAUACCGGUGGCGAAGGCGGCCCCCUCGGACAGAUACUGACACUCAGAUGCGAAAGCGUGGGGAGCAAACAGGAUUAGAUACCCUGGUAG
rnacentral:rRNA from 1 species